GGCAGUAUGGCUCAAGUGAUAGAGCACCUGCCUAGCAAGUAUGAGGUCCUGAGUUCAAAUCCCAGUACUGCCA